AUUGAACGCUGGCGGCAGGCCUAACACAUGCAAGUCGAGCGGAUGAAGGGAGCUUUCUCCUGGAUUCAGCGGCGGACGGGUGAGUAAUGCCUAGGAAUCUGCCUGGUAGUGGGGGAUAACGUCCGGAAACGGGCGCUAAUACCGCAUACGUCCUGAGGGAGAAAGUGGGGGAUCUUCGGACCUCACGCUAUCAGAUGAGACUAGGUCGGAUUAGCUAGUUGGUGGGGUAAAGGCCUACCAAGGCGACGAUCCGUAACUGGUCUGAGAGGAUGAUCAGUCACACUGGAACUGAGACACGGUCCAGACUCCUACGGGAGGCAGCAGUGGGGAAUAUUGGACAAUGGGCGAAAGCCUGAUCCAGCCAUGCCGCGUGUGUGAAGAAGGUCUUCGGAUUGUAAAGCACUUUAAGUUGGGAGGAAGGGCAGUAAGUUAAUACCUUGCUGUUUUGACGUUACCAACAGAAUAAGCACCGGCUAACUUCGUG
rnacentral:rRNA from 1 species